GUGGGGAAUCUUAGACAAUGGGCGCAAGCCUGAUCCAGCAAUGCCGCGUGCAGGAAGAAGGCCUUCGGGUUGUAAACUGCUUUUGUACGGAACGAAACGGUCCCGGCUAAUACCCGGGGCUAAUGACGGUACCGUAAGAAUAAGCACCGGCUAACUACGUGCCAGCAGCCGCGGUAAUACGUAGGGUGCGAGCGUUAAUCGGAAUUACUGGGCGUAAAGCGUGCGCAGGCGGUGCUGUAAGACAGGCGUGAAAUCCCCGGGCUCAACCUGGGAAUUGCGCUUGUGACUGCAGUGCUGGAGUGCGGCAGAGGGGGAUGGAAUUCCGCGUGUAGCAGUGAAAUGCGUAGAUAUGCGGAGGAACACCGAUGGCGAAGGCAAUCCCCUGGGCCUGCACUGACGCUCAUGCACGAAAGCGUGGGGAGCAAACAGGAUUAGAUACCCCAGUAGUCC
rnacentral:rRNA from 1 species